UACGAAGGGGGCUAGCGUUGUUCGGAAUUACUGGGCGUAGAGGGCGCGUAGGCGGCUGUUCAAGUCGGGGGUGAAAUCCCGUGGCUCAACCACGGAAUGGCCUUCGAUACUGGACGGCUGGAGACCGGAAGAGGUGAGUGGAACUGCGAGUGUAGAGGUGAAAUUCGUAGAUAUUCGCAAGAACACCAGUGGCGAAGGCGGCUCACUGGUCCGGUUCUGACGCUGAGGCGCGAAAGCGUGGGGAGCAAACAGG
rnacentral:rRNA from 1 species